GAUGAACGCUGGCGGUCGGCCUAACACAUGCAAGUCGAACGCUCCCUUAGGGGAGAGUGGCGGACGGGUGAGUAACGCGUGAGAAUCUACCUUCAGGUCUGGGACAACCACUGGAAACGGUGGCUAAUACCGGAUGUGCCUUCGGGUGAAAGAUUUAUUGCCUGGAGCAGAGCUCGCGUCUGAUUAGCUAGUUGGUGGGGUAAAAGCCUACCAAGGCGGCGAUCAGUAGCUGGUCUGAGAGGACGAUCAG
rnacentral:rRNA from 1 species